rnacentral:rRNA from 1 species
GAUGAACGCUGGCGGCGUGCCUAAUACAUGCAAGUCGAGCGAACGGACGAGAAGCUUGCUUCUCUGAUGUUAGCGGCGGACGGGUGAGUAACACGUGGAUAACCUACCUAUAAGACUGGGAUAACUUCGGGAAACCGGAGCUAAUACCGGAUAAUAUUUUGAACCGCAUGGUUCAAAAGUGAAAGACGGUCUUGCUGUCACUUAUAGAUGGAUCCGCGCUGCAUUAGCUAGUUGGUAAGUUAACGGCUUACCAAGGCAACGAUGCAUAGCCGACCUGAGAGGGGGAUCGGCCACACUGGAACUGAGACACGGACCAGACUCCUACGGGAGGCAGCAGUAGGCAAUCUUCCGCAAUGGGCGAAAGCCUGACGGAGCAACGCCGCGUGAGUGAUGACGGUCUUCGGAUCGUAAAACUCUGUUAUUAGUGAAGAACAUAUGUGUAAGUAACUGUGCACAUCUUGACGGUACCUAAUCAGAAAGCCACGGCUAACUACGUG